CCAGGACUUAUAAAGGACCGGAGAUGUCGGGAGGACAGUGCAAGUUUCCCUGCAAGGAGAAAAACAACAAGAAGAAGAAAUGGACGCUGAGAUGAGCAUCAGAGCAGCCAGGCUGAGCAGAAAGAUCCAGCGGCUGCAAGAAAGAGUCGACAUGAUGCUGAAAACCUGGAGGAGAGGAAAUCUGGAAAUCUGGAAAUCUGAAAGUCUGGAAGUCUGAAAGUCUGGAAGUCUGGAGCUACGAUGGAGGAACCAGAGAAGGAUGAUCUUUUAUAGCAUAAAAAUAGGAAGCUGUGUUGUCAUUGGACACGUCUGCAGUGGAAACAACGAUUUUCAGAUUCUCACCCUUGCCACUUUCUGUCGGAGUUCCUCAGAGUUUGGGUCGAUGCACCUCCAUGUUCCUCUCUGGCUCUUGAUUCUAGACGGAGCGGAGGCAGUGAGGACACACAGCACCAGAAACACGGAGGUCGGUUUCGUCCGCCUGUCCUACCUGAAGGCGUGCGUCUUGCAGUCCAGCCGUUUCUGUUCGUAGCACUCUCUGGUUCUGGGGAAGGUUCUGUUGGUCAGCUUCUCGCAGCAGUCCAGAUUUAUGAUGGGGGAGAAGGACUCCACUGGACCAGCAAACAGCAAGAGGAAACCCAGCAGUCAGGCUUUAACUGUAAACAUGUCUGUCGUCAUGGUCGCCAUUACUCCCUGCUGCUGCCUCUCUCCAAUUACGGCGACAUUAAAUAAUCUUUUGGGUU